rnacentral:rRNA from 1 species
GACAGAGGGUGCAAGCGUUGUUCGGAAUUACUGGGCGUAAAGCGCGUGUAGGCUGCUCAGAAAGUCGGAUGUGAAAGCCCUGGGCUUAACCUAGGAAGUGCAGUCGAAACUUCUGAGCUUGAGUUCUGGAGAGGAAGGCGGAAUUCUCGGUGUAGAGGUGAAAUUCGUAGAUAUCGAGAGGAACACCGGUGGCGAAGGCGGCCUUCUGGACAGUGACUGACGCUGAGACGCGAAAGCGUGGGGAGCAAACAGG